rnacentral:lncRNA from 1 species
AAAAACUCUAACCCAAAGUUACAAGCCUAAUAGCCUAAACAUGUUUUCAAAAACAGAAACCCUAACCCUAGCCUGCGCGCGGCCGCCUCUACCUCGCCAAUGGUCUCAUCGCCCGUAGUCUGCCAUCGUCAACCACCACCUGCAAGGACAGAAACCAAACACGCAACAGAGGUAAGAACAGUAGAAAAAUAGAUAAAAAUAAUAGUGUAAUCUGGCUAUAAAAAAGCCUGAAAACCAAUUGUAAAAGGGGUCCUUUUUUUUUUUAAAGAGAAAUCGAAUACGAAAAAAAGGCAAUCGAAAUACAAAAUCGAAAAACUUUAUAAGGUGAUUUUUUAAUUUUCUUUUUUGAAUCUAUUAUUACAUAUAUAUAUAUAUAAUAAAGUAAAAAAUCUUACCUAAGAUGCAUCAUCGCCCCCGUCAUCUCCGGUCCUUUUCCACCGAGAUGAAGUCCUCAUCGGAGAAAGCCGAAACCUUUAGGUUUCUUUUCCCUCGGCCGAGUGUCAGUUAGAUUUUUGAGAAUUUAAACCCCAAAUCUGGGUUCUAUUCAAAAAGGGGGCCGAAAAAAAGGGUCUUUUAGGUUUUUAGACAAUAGGGAACAGCAAAGCCAUCGCCGGCGACCAGUGGCCGUUGUGGUGGAGGCUAGCCGGCGCCAGGGCCUGAGAUGGGGAGGCUUGGAAAGAAAAA